AGUGAACGCUGGCGGUAGGCCUAACACAUGCAAGUCGAACGGCAGCACAGUAAGAGCUUGCUCUUACGGGUGGCGAGUGGCGGACGGGUGAGGAAUACAUCGGAAUCUACUUUUUCGUGGGGGAUAACGUAGGGAAACUUACGCUAAUACCGCAUACGACCUACGGGUGAAAGCAGGGGAUCUUCGGACCUUGCGCGAUUGAAUGAGCCGAUGUCGGAUUAGCUAGUUGGCGGGGUAAAGGCCCACCAAGGCGACGAUCCGUAGCUGGUCUGAGAGGAUGAUCAGCCACACUGGACCUGAGACACGGUCCAGACUCCUACGGGAGGCAGCAGUGGGGAAUAUUGGACAAUGGGCGCAAGCCUGAUCCAGCCAUACCGCGUGGGUGAAGAAGGCCUUCGGGUUGUAAAGCCCUUUUGUUGGGAGGAAGGGCAGUAAGUUAAUACCUUGCUGUUUUGACGUUACCAACAGAAUAAGCACCGGCUAACUUCGUG
rnacentral:rRNA from 1 species